ensembl:lncRNA
AGGAAAUCAAAGAGCUUGUGGACAAGGGGCCCGUCAGAUAGCUGGGUAUAGGCCCCAUCAAAGAGGUGGGCAUGAGCCUGGUCAAACAGGUAAACAUCAGAGAGGUGGGCAUGGGGCCCGUCAGAGAGGUGGACAAGGGGCCCGUCAGAGAGGUGGACAAGGGGCCCGUCAGAGAGGUGGACAAGGGGCCCGUCAGAGAGGUGGACAAGGGGCCCGUCAGAGAGGUGGACAAGGGGCCCGUCAGAGAGGUGGACAAGGGGCCCGUCAGAGAGGUGGACAAGGGGCCCGUCAGAGAGGUGGACAGGGG